AAUUAGUCGCCUAACCAAUUAACUAUUGUUUCAGCACUAAUUUUGUGAGGACCCGAACGUGUAUUUAGUCCCACAUCGAUUAUUCGCAAGGUAGAUCUUGGGUACUUGUCACGAUCCGAAUCCAGCACCCGGGUUUAGCAUGCAAUACGACGGCAUACUCUUUAAGGCAAAGCUCGAAAGAAUAUGCCAGGCCUAAAAAUAUAAUACAACCUCAAUAUCCAUAAUCAA
rnacentral:lncRNA from 1 species